GCCCUUUUAGCUCAGAGGCAGAGCGUUGCUCUCGUAAAGCAAAGGUCGUCAGUUCAAUUCUGGCAAAGGGCA